AAGUUUUUUGAGCAAAAAGCGAUAUUGUUCUGGCAAAUGUUUUGAGUUUAUAACAACUGAUAACAACUCAAAACAACGCUGAUAACAACUCAAAACAUUUGCCAGAACAAUAUCGCUUUUUGCUCAAAAAACU
rnacentral:miRNA from 1 species